CGGUGGUGAUAGCGGAGGGGAAACACCUCUUCCCAUUCCGAACAGAGUAGUUAAGCCCUUUUGCGCCGAUGGUACUGCUUGGGUGACCUUGUGGGAGAGUAGGUCGCUGCCG
rnacentral:rRNA from 1 species